AAUCGGAUUGCUUCCGUCGUUUAUUGUUUAGAUUUAUCAAAGAGCCAGCCACCCGACGAAUCACGACGACUCUUCUUCCCCCCUUUAAGGAUGUUGACACCGUGUCGUUUUGUCACCUUAUAGAGUUAUAGUCAUUCAGACGCCGUGCCGUUUUAUCAGUUAGAGUUAUUUUCUUCAUGUUGAACCUUUUUUUGUCAGCCCGUUUUAUCCCACGUUGAAG